GAUGAACGCUGGCGGCGUGCCUAAUACAUGCAAGUCGAGCGACCAGACGAGGAGAUUGCUCCCCUAACGUUAGCGGCGGACGGGUGAGUAAGACGUGGAUAACAUACCUAUAAGACUGGGAUAACUUCGGGAAGCAAGAGAUACUAAUGGCUCAUACAUUGAACCGGUUGGUUCAAUAGUGAAAGACGGUUUUCACGUCACUUAUAGCUGGAUCCGUGCCGCAUUAGCUAGUUGGUAAGGUAACGGCUUACCAAGGCAACGAUGCGUAGCCGACCUGAGAGGAUGAUCAGCCACACUGGAACUGAGACACGGUCCAGACUCCUACGGGAGGCAGCAGUAGGGAAUCUUCCGCAAUGGGCGAAAGCCUGAUGGAGCCACGCCGCGUGAGUGAUGAAGGUCUUCGGAUCGUAAAACUCUGUUAUUAGGAAAGAACAAAUGUAUAAGUAUCUAUGCACGUCUUGACGGUACCUAAACAGAAAGCCACGGCUAACUACGUG
rnacentral:rRNA from 1 species